UUACCUGGCCUUGACAUCCGGGGAACAUCCAGAGAUGGAUGGUGCCGCAAGGAGCCCCGAGACAGGUGGUGCAUGGUUGUCGUCAGCUCGUGUCGUGAGAUGUUGGGUUAAGUCCCGCAACGAGCGCGACCCUUGCCUUUAGUUGCCAGCAUUAAGUUGGGCACUCUAGAGGGACUGCCAGGGAUAACCUGGAGGAAGGUGGGGAUGACGUCAAAUCAUCAUGCCCCUUAUGCUUAGGGCUACACACGUGCUACAAUGGGUGGUACAGAGGGCAGCCAAGUCGUGAGGCGGAGCUAAUCCCUUAAAGCCAUUCUCAGUUCGGAUUGUAGGCUGAAACUCGCCUACAUGAAGCUGGAGUUACUAGUAAUCGCAGAUCAGAAUGCUGCGGUGAAUGCGUUCCCGGGUCUU
rnacentral:rRNA from 1 species